rnacentral:misc_RNA from 1 species
GCUGCCGAAAGGCGGCUCCCCUUGAAUGUGUCGGUUGGGUUCCUUAGGCUUUUUGCGUCGAAAUGGGGGCGUUGUAUCAUCCUCGCUCUCGCUAGACUGCGGCUUAGGUAUUGUUCCCUUCCUAGACUUAGCCUCUGGAGUGGCGGUCAAACAAAUCGAAUUCUGACCUCAAAUCAGGUAGGACUACCCGCUGAACUUAA